UUAUUUCUAUCAUAUUGGGGACAAUGAGUAGUUUUAGUGUAGGGGAGAGGCAUUCUGCAUUCUGUAUUCUGUAUUCUGUAUCUUAGGUAGCUAGUUUUUCAUUUUAAUAUCUCAUUAUAGGUAUUUAGACCUCUCCUAAUUUUUGCCACACCACACAUACACCUCUAACAAUUUGUUUUUGCUCCAAUCUUCACAACUAUCUCUAUUAUUUUAAACAACUCUAAUGGGGCAUUUCAAAAGUGGAUUUGCACUUACAACAAUCU
rnacentral:lncRNA from 1 species